rnacentral:rRNA from 1 species
AUCCAGACUCCUACGGGAGGCAGCAGUGGGGAAUAUUGCACAAUGGGGGGAACCCUGAUGCAGCAAUGCCGCGUGAAGGAUGAAGGUUUUCGGAUUGUAAACUUCUUUUGUACGGGACGAAGAAAGUGACGGUACCGUAAGAAUAAGCCACGGCUAACUACGUGCCAGCAGCCGCGGUAAUACGUAGGUGGCAAGCGUUAUCCGGAUUUACUGGGUGUAAAGGGCGUGUAGGCGGGCAUGCAAGCCAGAAGUGAAAUCUGGGGGCUUAACCCCCAAACUGCUUUUGGAACUGCGUGUCUUGAGUGAUGGAGAGGCAGGCGGAAUUCCCAGUGUAGCGGUGAAAUGCGUAGAUAUUGGGAGGAACACCAGUGGCGAAGGCGGCCUGCUGGACAUUAACUGACGCUGAGGCGCGAAAGCGUGGGGAGCAAACAGGAUUAGAUACCCGGGUA